rnacentral:lncRNA from 1 species
CAGAUCUAGGUUUCUCCACUCAGGAAAAGAGGAGAAUGUACCCAUACUUGGGAAAACAAGUUUCCGAUGGCACAGCUUUGAUCAAACAGCAAAAUUCUAUCCAUCUAUGUAUUGCCAUCUGACAGUAUGACAAAUGGUCCCAAGUGUGAUAUUCACACUGCAUUGCAGUCAAACCUGAUCUAAAAAAAAUAAUGCUGGGAAGUCCUAACCACAUCAAGAAUGCCUCAGAUCAGUGACCCAAGGAACCUUCCAGAAUGGAUGAAAUAGACCCAAAGCUGAAUUCACCUAAUUUUAGGGCCAAAAACCCAAAAAACAAAACAAGACCAAAAAAAUCUUCAGAUACUGGGAGAACAAAUCUCAAUUGCUCAAUUGUAUCUUAUGAAAACAAUUUUUCAAAA